AUUGAACGCUGGCGGCAGGCCUAACACAUGCAAGUCGAGCGGAUGAUGGGAGCUUGCUCCUGGAUUCAGCGGCGGACGGGUGAGUAAUGCCUAGGAAUCUGCCUGGUAGUGGGGGACAACGUUUCGAAAGGAACGCUAAUACCGCAUACGUCCUACGGGAGAAAGCAGGGGACCUUCGGGCCUUGCGCUAUCAGAUGAGCCUAGGUCGGAUUAGCUAGUAGGUGAGGUAAAGGCUCACCUAGGCGACGAUCCGUAACUGGUCUGAGAGGAUGAUCAGUCACACUGGAACUGAGACACGGUCCAGACUCCUAAGGGAGGCAGCAGUGGGGAAUAUUGGACAAUGGGCGAAAGCCUGACCCAGCCAUGCCGCGUGUGUGAAGAAGGUCUUCGGAUUGUAAAGCACUUUAAGUUGGGAGGAAGGGCAGUAAGUUAAUACCUUGCUGUUUUGACGUUACCGACAGAAUAAGCACCGGCUAACUUCGUGCCAGCAGCCGCCGUAAUAC
rnacentral:rRNA from 1 species